AGGGGAUGAGGGCGAGGGUGGGGGCGGAAGGAGGAGCCACAGAGGGAGGGUUGUCAUUGGUCGGCUCUGGUUUCCAGGACAACAGGCUCAACCAAUCAGAGUGAGAGCUGCGUUUUUCCCUCGGCUUUCAGUCCGCUGCCGUCUGCAGUUCGCGAUGGCUGAACGAGCUGGGGCACUGUUUAGACCAGCGGUACUCAGCUGACAGUCUGUGGGCCACGUCCAGCCCGCAGGUUCAUUCUUUGUAGCCCUUGGUCCACCAGGUCAGGGAUGCACUGACAUCUGGCCAGGUCAGAUGUCUUAUCUGUCGUAUUCCGAUGCCAGGAAAAGGCAGAUUGCAAUGCUGAGAUGGUUCUGGACCACAUCACCUGGCCGGAUGAAGAAGAGCUGGAGGAUGACAGCGAAUCUCCUCUUGCUGUGAAAUGUUAGAUCACAAGCUACUUGCGUAGAUUUGUUGAGACAGGUAUUUGGCUUUUUUCUGGUUACACUCAAACUACAACUUUAUUUAUAAAGCGCUUUUCAAACAAAAAAAUGAAACUCAAAUAGCUUCAGAGGAAGAAAAAAAAUGACCCACAGAUUGAAAAGACCUGACAUAUCCCACAAAAUUCAUUGUCAAUUGAAACCCCCUUCCCCGACCCAGUAACACGCAUAUACACACACACACAUACCCACAUGCACACACAACACAUUAGAGAACAUAUGCAAACACUGGGCAGAACUCAGAUGAGUCAGGAAACGCCAUCAGGCGAGCCGUCUGAUCCAACUCCAGUAGAUCCACAGCAGCAGCCAGGGCACCGAGACAGGUCUCACAGAGGAGGGAGGACAAGGGCCCCCACCUACACCCAAGCACUACCUGGAGAGCACCCAGGCCACUGCCGCUGACCACUGGCCCUGAGGCAGAGGGCUCCCACUGAGGAAACGCUGUAAAGUAUUAGAAUAAGUAAAAGAAUGAAAUAAAAAGAGGUAAUGUAUGAAUAAGUAGUGACCAAUAUAAUUGUAGAAAUAGUAAAACAAUAUCAAAUCAUAAAUAUAUAACAAAACUUUCUUAAAAUAUAAGAAAUUUAAUCAUAAAUAAUAAGCAGUUAAAAGCUAAGCUAAAAAAGUUCAUUCUUCGGCCUGUUCUUAAAGUUUCUCUCUGGUCCUGAGGUCCUCAGGCAGCCUGCUCCAGAGGCAAGGGCCAUUAUAUUGUGAGGACGCCUGACCAUUGUUGUUUGUCCUGACAUUCGGGAUCACAAGGCGAUGGCUGCAAGAGGAGUGCAGAGGACGUGAGGGUUUGUAUGGUAAAGUCAGUUCAGAAAGGCUAGAAGGGCCAAGACCAUUAUGACACUUUAAAACCAUUACAAAAACCUGAAAAUCAUUGGAAUAAACCUUAAAGUCAUAAUAGGUUUAAACAGUUGUCUUUCACAAAAUGUGUACAAUCAAACUAUUUUAGAAGCCUUAACCCUCCCACUGUCUUCAUGGGUGACCCCACCAGGAAAGACCUCACCCCUGCCACAUGGACCUCAAGGGAUAAACCAUCAACCCUGCUCAGUGGUCAACUUUCCUGGUGGGGUCACCCAUGAAGACAGUGGGAGGGUUAAAAUGAGUAAAGUGUUUUAUAUGACACAGCAGAUAAGGUGGGUUUGCUACAUUCUAAGUAUCUUGUGUAAACAUGGCACAGAAGAUCUUUUAUAUCUCAUUUGUCUUUGCCAUUUUUUCUUUUCUUUUUCAGUGUAUGAAGAGCAAAGGAAGCAGCUCGUGAAGUUUGGGGUUGGAUGGGAGAAACCCAUGAAGUGUAUGAAAGUGGAAAUAAUGCAGGCAGACCAUCCAACCUCAUCUAGCUGCUUCCAUAUUCUAUGUCUGCCCUGCCACUACACAACAUUUGAUGUUUCGCAAUCAUCUUGAAAGUUGCAUAGCAACCAAUGUUCAUGGUUUUGGAUUGAUCUAAAGUUUAACGUCAUGCUAUUUGCCAGUGCUGUUCAGGUUAUACCAAACAAAUCUUUUUUUUAUUUAACCAUCAAGUUACAGCUGAAAGUUUCAGGAAUAUUGAGUUACAAGUAAGGCACAGCUGUGUUAUAUGAUAAAUGUUUUAUUGUAAUUUUACAAGUAGAGAAAUCAUUUUCAAGAUUGCAUUUUAUACAUAUGCAACAAACAAAACGUUGCUGCAUCCAGGGUCAUGACAAUAGAACAAUAUUUUUGUAGCUUAAUGCUAAAUGUUUUUUCCUGUCACUUGCUUAAGUUCAAGAUGUUAUUAAUAAAAAAAUUUUUUAAAAACUUAAAAAAUUUUAUUGAAUUCACAAAUGAUUGUAACCUAUAUUAACACGUUAGACUUGCAGGUUUUUAAAUAAAAAAAAACAUCAAAUUGCAACAAAACUUUCAUUAUUCUCACAAAUUUGGGAAUUUCAAUAUCCAAGAGAAUAAGAAAGGGCAGUUAGAUUUUUUGUACACACAAGAUUACUAUAAUUUUAACUUAAGAAGGUUUAAUUCUUUUAGUUUGCCAUCGAAGAAUAUUAACAUGCAAACAUUUUCAAAUGCUCACGAGUCAUUUAAUCUGUACUUUCAAGUUCAGAUGUGGUAAGAGAUAACGGAGAUUAAAAUAACGUGUUCAGUUAGAUAAUGGAGACUUAUGAAGAUCCUUCACAGACAUUUUAUACAAGUCAUUGAUGACAAGAUGCAAAAAAUGAAAGAUUUUAUUAUAGCCAAUGGUUUGCAUGUAAUGCCGUGUGGCUAAAUAACUGUCAAUCCCAAAAUUGACCUCAGUGGAUCCACAGCUGCACAGAGUCCAGAAUAUUCUCCUGGACUUAGCGGGCAUUCAACUUCUGGAACUUGAACACUAGAGUUGUGUUCAUUGUCGAUGAGUCCACUGGAUUCCCAUUCAAUCUGUGGAAUGUAAAGCUCCUGCAAUAAAAUGAUUGUGGGCUAGGCACAGAAUACGUUCUUCUGACCACACAACGGAGAUAGGACAUUCAGGAAACCACGCCUGCAGUGUCUAAUCUGCGCAUAGAGGACCGAACACGCUCCCACUGAAGUCUAUAUCCUUGUGACUUCAGCAGACCUUUCAUCAUGGUGACUUGAAAAGCGCUAUAUAAGUUCAAUGCAUUAUUAUUAUUAUCAAUCUAUACCCUGCAUUUGGGUUUCUGGCA